GUCUGUAUUGAAACAGCAGCUGCAAGUCUUCACCCCCAUUAGAGGAUAUGGGCCUUUAAUCUGAGGAUCUCAAAACUCUUUAUGGACAUUUUAUUGGAACACCCCCUAUGUACAAGAACGAUGGUCCCUGCUUCACGAAGCCUACACGAUGAAAGGCUGACAGACAAGCACCAAGAGGUUAGGGGAAGAGGAACAGACAGUACUGUAUACCUCAGCCAAUUCCUUCAUUAUAAGCAGCACAACAACUAAUCAGCAAGACUCCCUGGACUCAUGACAUCUCAUUCAACUCCAAAAACUGCUUCUAGAAGACAGUCUUGUGGUAAUAGAUGAAAUUAUACACAGUGAGGAGGUGGCCAUAUGCUUUUUUGUUGCUGUUCUGUUUUUACCUCCACCUUGAUGGAGUCCAUGUCUAUUCUGAGGCUCCCAGGUACUACCAAGACACAAAUAAUAUUAAUAUGAUGGUAAUCAAAAGGAAGAAAUUUCAGUGGGAUGUGUUUCUGAAUGCUUGUAGCUGCCUUUAAAAAAAAUAAA